GCGGGGUGUACCUGGUCCGACUCCCCGGCGGUCCUGAAAACCGUCGUGGCGCGAGUCACCGUGGGUUCAAAUCCACACCCACCGCA
rnacentral:tRNA from 1 species